AACGGACAUGAAGAUGUGUGAUUAUUUUCAGUAGGCAGACAUCUAACCCUGAAAACCACUCGCUUGCAGAGCGCUGGAUCAGCAAUGCCUACUAGUUCUUCAUUCAAACACCGGAUUAAAGAGCAGGAAGACUACAUCCGAGAUUGGACUGCUCAUCGAGAAGAGAUAGCCAGGAUCAGCCAAGAUCUUGCUCUCAUUGCUCGGGAGAUCAACGAUGUAGCAGGAGAGAUAGAUUCAGUGACUUCAUCAGGCACUGCCCCUAGUACCACAUUGGUUGAUCGUGUUUUUGAUGAAAGCCUCAACUUCCGAAAGAUUCCUCCAUUAGUUCAUUCCAAAACACCAGAAGGAAACAACGGUCGAUCUGGUGAUCCAAGACCUCAAGCAGCAGAGCCUCCCGAUCACUUAACAAUUACAAGGCGGAGAACCUGGAGCAGGGAUGAAGUCAUGGGAGAUAAUCUGCUGCUGUCAUCCGUCUUUCAGUUCUCUAAGAAGAUAAGACAAUCUAUAGAUAAGACAGCUGGAAAGAUCAGAAUAUUAUUUAAAGACAAAGAUCGGAAUUGGGAUGACAUAGAAAGCAAAUUAAGAGCCGAAAGUGAAGUCCCUAUUGUGAAAACCUCAAGCAUGGAGAUUUCUUCUAUCUUACAGGAACUGAAAAGAGUAGAAAAGCAGCUGCAAGCAAUCAAUGCUAUGAUUGAUCCUGAUGGAACUUUGGAGGCUCUGAACAACAUGGGAUUUCCCAGUGCUAUGUUGCCAUCUCCACCGAAACAGAAGUCCAGCCCUGUGAAUAACCACCACAGCCCGGGUCAGACACCAACACUUGGCCAACCAGAAGCUAGGGCUCUUCAUCCUGCUGCUGUUUCAGCCGCAGCUGAAUUUGAGAAUGCUGAAUCUGAGGCUGAUUUCAGUAUACAUUUCAAUAGAUUCAACCCCGAUGGGGAAGAGGAAGAUGUUACAGUACAAGAAUGACUUUCUCUUGAUUGUUGAAAAAUCAUUACCUGUGGAAUGGCUAGGAAUAUUGGAAGCAGCAUAGUGUUGAUGUACGCAAAACAAGACAGCUUGGUCAGCUACAA
rnacentral:misc_RNA from 1 species